rnacentral:lncRNA from 10 species
GUAGCAUGCAUUGUUAUUCACAAGGCAGUCAAAGAGAAUUUAAGUGGAAUGUGGGUUUCAAAGUCCAGGUGAGAGGCAGUCUUCCAGAAGUCUGGGCUCUUCCACUGCUAGGGAAGAGAGGACCUGGUGGAUGCUGGCUCACUUUUGUUUUUGCUUUGUUUUCUGAGACAGAGUCUCACUCUGUUGCCCAGGUUGGAGGGCUCCAUCAUGGUGUACUUCAGCCUCGACCUCCCGGGCUGAAGCUAUCCUGCCACCUCAGCCUUCCAAGUAGCUGGUACUACAGGUAUGAGCCACCACACCCAGCUACUUUUUAUGAUUUUUUUCUAGAAACGGAGUUUUGCCAUGUUGUCCAGUCUGGUCUCAAACUCCUGAGCUCAAGCCAUCUGCCCGUCUCGGCCUCCCAAAGUGUGAGGAUUACAGGCAUGAGCCGUAGUGCAUGGCCACUGGCUCACUUUUGAAAGCACUUUGCAAACCUCUGUCACCCUCAAACAGCCCAGCAAACAGGGAAUUGCCAAUGCAAAGAAGCCGGGUGCAGGCUGCCUGCCUUGCCUUGGGACCAGAGUGGCCUGGCGGUGGAACAUGAGAGGAGAGCAGCUGACCCUGGCCUUUAGGGGCUGGAACCAGCUUCUGCUCUUUGCUCCUCUGGACACAGACCCCACUCCCUGGGGUCUCCUGGUCCAUCCUGGCUAUGAUGACAGGCAAUGACUGAGCCCCUCCCUACCCUUUCCAGCCUCUGGUAACCAUCCUUCUACUCUCUAUCCCGGUG